UACGAAGGGGGCUAGCGUUGCUCGGAAUGACUGGGCGUAAAGGGCGCGUAGACGGCUUGCACAGUCAGGCGUGAAAUUCCUGGGCUCAACCUGGGGACUGCGCUUGAGACGUGUGGGCUUGAGUGGGGAAGAGGGUCGUGGAAUUCCCAGUGUAGAGGUGAAAUUCGUAGAUAUUGGGAAGAACACCGGUGGCGAAGGCGGCGACCUGGUCCUUGACUGACGCUGAGGCGCGAAAGCGUGGGGAGCAAACAGG
rnacentral:rRNA from 1 species